rnacentral:hammerhead_ribozyme from 1 species
GCACUGCUGAAGAGUCUCACAAUAGGAGGAAACGGUCGUCCAGUUC